AUGGUAAAAUGGUCUUUAAAGAAGUACAAAUAUGCAAAUCACACGGAGUGCAUGAUUGAAGGCUCAUUGCUUGUACUUCACUUGAAACAAUGCUGGUGAUUUUGUUUUUCAUUUUAGUGGAUAUGAUUGCAAGAAGAAAAGAGGCAAUCAUCUCUAUAGCAGAGCAGCAUUAACAGCUCUGCCAGGAUGGUUGCCCACAGGUGCACUCUGAGUGACUGAUGGCAGAAAACAACACUCCGAGAGUGCUGUGUGUGCAAUUUGAAAGAACAAUUAAGUUGACUAAUAAAGGCCUCUUUCCUAUUUGUAAAUAAUCCA
rnacentral:lncRNA from 1 species